AUAGUGGAGUUCAUCAGUGUUGUUUUGCUGCCUUCUCACUCCUCAGCACCAGUUUUGUUUAUAAUGCAGCUUGUUUGUGUCCCCUUGUGCCCAGCAGUGAGACUCAAUGAAAACCAGAGGAGUUUGGCAGCAGGAGGAAAUUGAAUAGUUGGUCGAGGUGUAUUUGUGUGAAAUCCUUCCAGUGCUCCAGUCGUGUUUGGUAGACGCGCGCUUCAAGUUGACGCUCCUCACCCCCCACUCACCCUCUGAUACGUGAAAUGGCACCAUGGAUAGCGAAUGAUGAAAUAUAAUAACCUUUUGUGCUGAAACCGAAGACUCCACUCCCGGUUGGGACACACUGGCUCAGGAAAAAUACUCUUUAUAAAUCGACCAAUCCUCUUUGUGGCCUUUGAAAACGGUCGCGGUGAGAGAAGGAAGCGUUUGUGAAUAUGGCGCUUUGAUGUAGCGUGAGUGACCUGUGAGGGACAGUGCGGCGCCUUCCAGACUCGCCAGACUGUACAAUAAACCACCAGACAUCGACAUCGUGCUUCCCCCAUUAGCUUCACCUGAACUUCGGUAUCGCCCAUCUAAAAGCCCACCCGCUAGGAAACCGC